rnacentral:rRNA from 1 species
UACGUAGGGACCGAGGCGUUGUCCGGAUUCAUUGGGCGUAAAGAGCUCGUAGGCGGCUGCUCAAGUCGAAUGUGAAAACUCGAGGCUCAACCUCGAGCCUGCCAUUCGAUACUGGGCGGCUAGAGUCUGGUAGGGGGGAUCUGGAAUUCCUGGUGUAGCGGUGGAAUGCGCAGAUAUCAGGAGGAACACCGGUGGCGAAGGCGGGAUCCUGGGCCAGUAUGACGCUGAGGAGCGAAAGCGUGGGGAGCAAACAGGG